GAUGAAGAACGUAGCGAAAUGCGAUAAGUAAUGUGAAUUGCAGAAUUCAGUGAAUCAUCGAAUCUUUGAACGAACAUUGCGCCCAUUAGUAUUCUAGUGGGCAUGCCUGUUCGAGCGUCAUUAAGUCCACUUAAGCCUAGCUUAGUGUUGGGAGACUGCUCCAGUGGUGCUACCCUGUAGCUACCCUGCAGCUCCUUAAAGACAGCGGCGGAGUCGUGUUAUCCUCUGAGCUUAGUAAAUCAUUCUAGCUUUCGAGAGUAUCACUUCACCUGCCGUUAAACCACCUAAUUUUUAUGGUUGACCUCGGAUCAGGUAGGAAUACCCGCUGAACUUAAGCAUAUCAAUAAGCGGAGGA
rnacentral:misc_RNA from 1 species